AGAGUUUGAUCCUGGCUCAGAUUGAACGCUGGCGGCAGGCCUAACACAUGCAAGUCGAACGCGAAAGCUCCUUCGGGAGUGAGUAGAGUGGCGGACGGGUGAGUAAUACUUAGGAAUCUGCCCAGUAGUGGGGGACAACCCGGGGAAACCCGGGCUAAUACCGCAUACGCUCUACGGAGGAAAGCGGGGGAUCUUCGGACCUCGCGCUAUUGGAUGAGCCUAAGUCGGAUUAGCUUGUUGGUAGGGUAACGGCCUACCAAGGCGACGAUCCGUAACUGGUCUGAGAGGAUGACCAGUCACACUGGGACUGAGACACGGCCCAGACUCCUACGGGAGGCAGCAGUGGGGAAUAUUGGACAAUGGGCGCAACCCUGAUCCAGCCAUGCCGCGUGUGUGAAGAAGGCCUUCGGGUUGUAAAGCACUUUCAGUAGGGAAGAAAAGCCUAAGGUUAAUAACCUUGGGUCUUGACGGUACCUACACAAGAAGCACCGGCUAAUUCCGUGCCAGCAGCCGCGGUAAUACGGAAGGUGCUAGCGUUAAUCGGAAUCACUGGGCGUAAAGCGCGCGUAGGCGGUCAUGUAAGUCGGAUGUGAAAGCCCCGGGCUCAACCUGGGAACUGCAUUCGAUACUGCAUGACUAGAGUGUAAUAGAGGGAAGUGGAAUUUCCGGUGUAGCGGUGAAAUGCGUAGAUAUCGGAGGGAACACCAAUGGCGAAGGCAACUUCCUGGGACAAUACUGACGCUGAGGUGCGAAAGCGUGGGGAGCAAACAGGAUUAGAUACCCUGGUAGUCCACGCCGUAAACGAUGUCAACUAGUCGUCGGGAGGGUUUUGCCUCUUAGUGGCGAAGCUAACGCGUUAAGUUGACCGCCUGGGGAGUACGGCCGCAAGGUUAAAACUCAAAUGAAUUGACGGGGGCCCGCACAAGCGGUGGAGCAUGUGGUUUAAUUCGAUGCAACGCGAAGAACCUUACCUGGCCUUGACAUCCUGUGAACUUUCUAGAGAUAGAUCGGUGCCUUCGGGAGCACAGUGACAGGUGCUGCAUGGCUGUCGUCAGCUCGUGUCGUGAGUUGUUGGGUUAAGUCCCGUAACGAGCGCAACCCUUGUCCUCAGUUGCCAGCAGGUCUGGCUGGGCACUCUGGGGAAACUGCCGGUGAUAAGCCGGAGGAAGGUGGGGAUGACGUCAAGUCCUCAUGGCCCUUAUGAGCUGGGCUACACACGUGCUACAAUGGCGGUGACAAUGGGCAGCGAAGGGGCGACCUGGAGCGAAAUCCCCAAACGCCGUCUCAGUUCGGAUUGCACUCUGCAACUCGAGUGCAUGAAGCCGGAAUCGCUAGUAAUCGUGGAUCAGCAUGCCACGGUGAAUACGUUCCCGGGCCUUGUACACACCGCCCGUCACACCAUGGGAGUUGGUUUUACCCGAAGCCGGUGCGCUAACUACGGAGGCAGCCGACCACGGUAAGGUCAGCGACUGGGGUGAAGUCGUAACAAGGUAGCCGUA
rnacentral:rRNA from 1 species